GCUGCCAGCCUGGUCCCUUUCUGCAGCACUUCAGCGCUGCUGCUUGAGUGCACUAAAGGCAAACGAAACCCCACGACGACACACAAGUUUUUCCAGUAUGGCCUGAAUUCUGUGGACGGACUCUUUCCUGGCCUGUCGAACACUGUCCUGGCCACCAGUCUCCACGGAAUCCAGUUCCAGCAGCAGCUUGGUCAACAUCUCCUCCAGAAGCCGGUAGGAUUUAUCCGUCUUUUUCCCUACAAAUUCAUCCACCUCGUCCUCCAGCUGCUCGGCUUCCCCCAUAACGUGCAGGAUCCUCUGAAUCUCUGGCUGGAUGGCUGCAGAAUUCAUUGCAGGACUGAGGGGACACUUGCUUUGAGCUGUGCAUGCCUGGCAGGACAGGGCAGUGAUCUGCGCAGCAUCUUCUAGACUGUCACACACCGUGAUGCUGUAACACACUAUGACUCAAGCCCUGCCAAGAGGUCCCAGAGAGGGACAUGGGACCCACACCACACUAAAGAGCAGAUCCCAGCAAGAGGAACGUGGCUGGAAACAGCGUGAGCUGCUGAACACUCAUGAAGAGGGGAGAUGCCAAACAGGUUUCAGCAGGGUCCUGUUUGGGUAACCCAGAGAAGACACUUCUCUGCGGGUAGCUGUUCCCAAGUGAUAGCAGCUCCCACCCCCAAAUCCCUGCUCAGGGCUGCUGCAGAGUCAUUUACCUCCCGAUCAAACCCAGAGAUGAACAGAUCACACCAAAUGCAUCAUUUCCUCCUGGUUUUGGCUUAAAACAUUCCUCAGUAAGGGACGAGUGUGCCCAAAACAAGCGCUUGCAGAGGAAUACCAGAGGCUGCACUGGCCCUCAGGGAGUCCCAUGCUCUAUGCUGGAGGAUUUCUGACUGUUCACUGCUUGAGAGAGGUGUUGGACAAGCGAGACAAGGUCUGACCCAUUUCCCUGCACUGGGAUGCUUGAUGUCUCCAGUGCCUUUCUGGAGCUACAGCCCUGGCUUUUGGUCUCGUGUAUGCAAAGAGGUGGUUUUGCUGCAGUACUCUGGCUACCCACUGCUUUGUUUCUACCUAAACUAACUGUGCUCGGAGAAAGGGGCAUUCCCAGGAGACAGAGGCAGGUUUUGAGGAGCUUUGAGCGCAGCCAGGACCCAGCACGACCAUGUGCUGCAGCAGCAUCAACACUACCUUUGAGUCCCACGUGGUGGGGUGGGAAGUUGCUCCACUGCUGGUCCAGGAUGAGUGUGAAUCGGCCACGAACGGGUGCCCAUGCACUGAAGUGGAGGUCCACGGGUAACGUGCCUGCACCCCAUAGACAGUGUGAGGAGCCCACGUGUCCUCCGGGGCUCUGGGC